rnacentral:rRNA from 1 species
CCUACGGGGGGCAGCAGUGAGGAAUAUUGGUCAAUGGCCGCAGGGCUGAACCCGCCAAGUCGCGUGAGGGAUGACGGUCCUAUGGAUUGUAAACCUCUUUUGUCAGGGAGCAAAGGGCGCCACGUGUGGCGCUUUGCGAGUACCUGAAGAAAAAGCAUCGGCUAACUCCGUGCCAGCAGCCGCGGUAAUACGGAGGAUGCGAGCGUUAUCCGGGUUUAUUGGGUUUAAAGGGUGCGCAGGCGGAAUGUCAAGUCAGCGGUAAAAUUUCGGGGCUCAACCCCGUCGUGCCGUUGAAACUGGCGUUCUUGAGUGAGCGAGAAGUAUGCGGAAUGCGUGGUGUAGCGGUGAAAUGCAUAGAUAUCACGCAGAACUCCGAUUGCGAAGGCAGCAUACCGGCGCUCAACUGACGCUCAUGCACGAAAGCGUGGGUAUCGAACAGGAUUAGAUACCCGAGUAGUC